GACGAACGCUGGCGGCGUGCCUAAUACAUGCAAGUAGAACGCACAGUUUAUACCGUAGCUUGCUACACCAUAGACUGUGAGUUGCGAACGGGUGAGUAACGCGUAGGUAACCUGCCUGGUAGCGGGGGAUAACUAUUGGAAACGUUAGCUAAUACCGCAUAAUAUUGAUUAUUGCAUGAUAAUUGAUUGAAAGAUGCUAUUGCAUCACUACCAGAUGGACCUGCGUUGUAUUAGCUAGUAGGGAAGGUAACGGCUCACCUAGGCGACGAUACAUAGCCGACCUGAGAGGGUGAUCGGCCACACUGGAACUGAGACACGGCCCAGACUCCUACGGGAGGCAGCAGUAGGGAAUCUUCGGCAAUGGACGAAAGUCUGACCGAGCAACGCCGCGUGAGUGAAGAAGGUUUUCGGAUCGUAAAGCUCUGUUGUAAGGGAAGAACGGGUGUGAGAGUGGAAGGUUCACACUGUGCCGGUAUCUUACAAAAAAGGAACGGCUACUUCCGU
rnacentral:rRNA from 1 species